UUACCCUGCGUGUGCCUCUUUCAACCUUUCUCACACCGUUACAGUUGUUUACGUGGCCAUUGCUUUGGUGGGACUAGGAGCUCUCUAAGAACAGAUACCGCUUUGUAUUAGAGUUCUUUACCCAAAAAAGGAGCUGACUCUAAUUUAAACCAAAGGGAAUUUAUUGGAAGGGUAGGAGUUAGCUCACAGACUCGACGGGACAGCUGAAGAGCCAUUGCUGAAUGUGCGGACAUCAGAAGAGCUUCGUGGAUUCAGAGACCCUAACUCAGUUCUGAUCUUCUGGUUGUCAACAGCCAACUCUCACUAGUUCAAGCAUAAAAGGAACAGCUCAAAGGAUAUCCAGUAGCUGGAAAGGCGAGAGAGAAAUGGCUUGAAGUCUUACGCAGCCCGGACAAGAAGCAACAGCCCAGCCAGGCAGCAGGACCGCUCCAACAAAGACCCCGUGCCCCACUGUUGCACGCACACUUCAGCUCCCACCAGUGGCCCUGGCCUGGAGGCUGUCGUCCUGGCCUUCUAAAAUCAGAUGCUUCUACUGCUACCUGCCCCGCCCCGAGAAACAUCUCCACGCAGCGCUAGCUUCCUUAUGUUGCUCACACCCAAGUCAAGGUCUCAUGCGGAAACUAUUUCUUAGGUGAAAAUCACAUCGCAUAAGGGAUUAGUAAAGCUUUUAAUAGCCAAUAAACACACAAUUUAAAAGAGAAAAGAAACAAAACAUUGUGAUCCAGAGUCAAUUAGAGCCCACCAGAAUAGGACAUCUGCGAAAACAAUCGCCAAAACAAUGUAAGAAUGCAUCUUAAAGUUUCGGAAAUGGAAUUCAGAGAAAAUGUCCUCAAGGAAUAAUACCAAGACAGACCCACUUGAAAUGUGCGAUGGACUGAAAUGAAAGCCUCACAAAUGCCCUUAUAAAUCUUAAGAAAAAUAACAAACGGCUGGUCAGUUAAGACUCUAGUGUUACUGGGCGCCUGGAUGGCUCAGUCAGUUGAGCGUCUGCCUUCAGCUCAGGUCAUG